rnacentral:rRNA from 1 species
GGAAGGCGGGGAUGACGUCAAGUCCUCAUGGCCCUUACGCGUAGGGCUACACACGUGCUACAAUGGCAUCUACAGUGAGUUAAUCUCCAAAAGAUGUCUCAGUUCGGAUUGGGGUCUGCAACUCGACCCCAUGAAGUCGGAAUCGCUAGUAAUCGCGUAACAGCAUGACGCGGUGAAUACGUUCCCGGGCCUUGUACACACCG